rnacentral:snRNA from 1 species
AUCGCUUCUCGGCCUUUUGGCUAAGAUCAAGUGUAGUAUCUGUUCUUAUCAGUUUAAUAUCUGAUACGUCCCCUACCCGGGGACUAUAUAUUAAAUAGAUUUUCGGAACAGAGAGAUGGAAUAGGGGCUUGCUCCGUCCACUCCACGCAUCGACCUGGUAUUGCAGUAUCUCCAGGAACGGUGCACUCCCU